AAUAAAUAAUAAUAGUAAUAUCCGAAUUAAUAACAGAUGGGAAUAUCAUCUGAUUUGAUUUUAUUCGAUAUUUUUUAGGUUUAGCCCACUGCACACCUACCUCUCUACCUAAGCUAUUUUGGAUUUGAAAACAUUAUCGAGUUUAGUCUUACGCACUGCAGUCUAAGUGCAAGACAACCGAUAACUACUCGCGAGUAACUGUUUUCACAGUGCUAUCGAUGCAAUGAGUUUACACCAAUGUAACUGUGAUUUGAGAAACUAAGACACAAUUAAUAUGGCGUAGGCCUAAGAACAAAGUUGGAAUUUAUUUUGUUCAAAACUUCAAACCACUGAAAUAACAGGUUAUAAUAUUAUAAUGAUUAUAUGAUUCCGUACCAAACCGGAAAACCUAAAUAAGUGCGCCAGCGGCUAUUGCAAUCGUAUCGAAAAAAAGAUCUCUUGAAACGAUUAAAUUAUUCCUCUUCCUUUUUGAGACCAUAUAAUAAUGUUUUGGGUGCGAGCUUAAUGAAUGAUGGUAAUAUUAUGAUGAAGACAAGAAACAGUCUAAAUUAGUCGAACGUAUACAAGAAAAAACCUAUGUACGCGUUAUCUUGAGCAUUUCUCAGUUGCGGGUGCAGUGCAGUGAUUAACCGACUAGACGGUCGGGAUUAUGUGUCCUGCAGGACGAAGGGCGCUCUGCCUCGCCUUACUUAUAUAGACUAUAGUAUUAUUUACAUGUAUAUUAUUUAUUUUAUUUACACUGUUGUUGUCGUCUA